rnacentral:tRNA from 1 species
GAGGGCAUAGCUCAGUGAUAGAGCACAUGCUUUGUGUGCAGAAGGUCCUGGGUUCAAUCCCCAGCUCUCC